rnacentral:misc_RNA from 1 species
AACGCACAUUGCGCCCACUGGUAUUCCGGUGGGCAUGCCUGUUCGAGCGUCAUUACGACCCUUACGCCCUGUUGCGUAGUGUUGGGGCUGCACCGUCCGGUGCUCCCCUAAAGUCAGUGGCAGAGCCUACUUGUACUCUAAGCGUAGUAAUUCUUCUCGUUUUUGCAGUCAGGUAGUCCCUCGCUAUCAAACCCCAAACCUUUUUGUGUUUGACCUCGAAUCAGGUAGGAAUACCCGCUGAACUUAA